rnacentral:rRNA from 1 species
GACGAACGCUGGCGGCGUGCCUAAUACAUGCGAGUAGAACGCUGAAGAGAGGAGCUUGCUCUUCUUGGAUGAGUUGCGAACGGGUGAGUAACGCGUAGGUAACCUGCCUUGUAGCGGGGGAUAACUAUUGGAAACGAUAGCUAAUACCGCAUAACAAUGGAUGACACAUGUCAUUUAUUUGAAAGGGGCAAUUUCUCCACUACAAGAUGGACCUGCGUUGUAUUAGCUAGUAGGUGAGGUAAUGGCUCACCUAGGCGACGAUACAUAGCCGACCUGAGAGGGUGAUAGGCCACACUGGGACUGGGACACGGCCCAGACUCCUAAGGGAGGCAGCAGUAGGGAAUCUUCGGCAAUGGGGGCAACCCUGACCGAGCAACGCCGCGUGAGUGAAGAAGGUUUUCGGAUCGUAAAGCUCUGUUGUAAGUCAAGAACGGGUGUGAGAGUGGAAAGUUCACACUGUGACGGUAGCUUACCAGAAAGGGACGGCUAACUACGU